rnacentral:rRNA from 1 species
UACGUAGGGUGCAAGCGUUGUCCGGAAUUAUUGGGCGUAAAGAGCUCGUAGGCGGUCUGUCGCGUCUGCUGUGAAAACUCAGGGCUUAACCCUGGGCCUGCAGUGGGUACGGGCAGACUAGAGUGCGGUAGGGGAGACUGGAAUUCCUGGUGUAGCGGUGAAAUGCGCAGAUAUCAGGAGGAACACCAACGGCGAAGGCAGCACUCUGGGCCGGUACUGACGCUGAGGAGCGAAAGCGUGGGGAGCAAACAGG